CCUACGGGUGGCAGCAGUGAGGAAUAUUGGUCAAUGGACGAGAGUCUGAACCAGCCAAGUAGCGUGAAGGAUGACUGCCCUAUGGGUUGUAAACUUCUUUUAUAAAGGAAUAAAACGAGGCACGUGUGCCUUUUUGCAUGUACUUUAUGAAUAAGGAUCGGCUAACUCCGUGCCAGCAGCCGCGGUAAUACGGAGGCUCCGAGCGUUAUCCGGAUUUAUUGGGUUGAAAGGGAGCGUAGAUGGGUUGUUGAGUCAGUUGUGAAAGUUUGCGGCUCAACCGUAAAAUUGCAAUUGAUACUGGCAGUCGUGAGUACAGUUGAGGUAGGCGGAAUUCGUGGUGUAGCAGUGAAAUGCUUAGAUAUCACGAAGAACCCUGAUUGCGAAGGCAGCUUACUAAACUGUGACUGACAUUGAUGCUCGAAAGUGUGGGUAUCAAACAGGAUUAGAUACCCCUGUAGUC
rnacentral:rRNA from 1 species